AUCUGUGCGCUGUGUGAAGGCAGGCACAACCUACCCGAAGGCCCCUUCGUCUUGGAGGGGCAUAUAUGUAUAUUGCAGUCGAGUCGUAGCAGCGUGCACUCCCUCCGCAGACACACGCGCACCUCUUUACAUUUGCGCUGGUGUACCGACUCUGUCACGAACACACUCGUUUUCGCGUUGUUGUCUGUAUUCUCCCCCAAGGUGUUCGGGUGGCCGCUCUUAUAUUGUUCCAGUCGCCAUGACGGAUGCUGCGGCGCGGGAUGCAUACACCGCCUACGGCGUGGAUUUGAUCCGUACAGCGGGGCUGCUUCUGCGAACCACACCCUCCACAAUUUACCGCGCCUCGAUUCUCUUCCAGCGCUUCGAGGCGUCCGUCGAGACGCACUUCCGUUCUCAGUACAUCAGCGCACUCGACAUGCCCGCUUAUCGAAAUUGUCUCAACGAGGAUCUCAAGCGUGCCCAACUCGAGUUGCUGGCUGCCUCAUCGCCCACCGGCAGUCCAUCCAUGACGGAGAAGACACGUGAUGCUCCGAGCAAGCCUGCGUACCCGGCCGGCGUCGAGUAUCUCGUGCCGAACCACGUGCAGCUCAAGAUGCGCACUGGUCUCGUUCCUUUGGUCGACCUACACGCCCCACUCGACUACUGCAUUCAUCACUUGUCGGAUCAUGAGGACAUCAUGUAUCUCGUGGCGGCCUGCCUGCUUAUCGCUACCAAAAUGGAGGACCCGUCGACGCGCAUUCGCGCCGUGGUGAACGUCUGCAUGCGACUGAGCCUACGCCGCAGCGGAACUCCUGUAAAUGAGCAGUCCAAGCCCUCUCUUGCACGCUACGAAGACUUCAAGGCCUGCGUGGUAGAGGCAGAGGAGGUGGUCCUGCACCAGCUUGGCUUUCAGACGUUUGUCGAGAGCCCCUACAAGUACGUUCUACUGUACUUGAAUAUCUUGUCGGAGCCGGCCAGUGACGAUGCGCAGAGCGGCAUCGGCGCCGUCAGGGGUGACCCGAGUGCUGGCGCGAACGGAACGACUCGUCCAAGCGCCGCCGCCGUAGCAAAAACCGCACGACCGCCUGCGGCUCUGACGCAGUGGAUGAUACGUGCGGUGCAGGUCGUGAACGACCUCCCGCGAUGCCGCCGGCUCCUCGCUGUUCCCGCCGACGCGCUCGCCAUCUACGCCAUACAGCAAUCGUGUCCGCCCGACCUCACUCUACCCGACAAAUGGUCCACGGCGUUCGGGGUAAGCGAGCGCCUUCUCAAGGCCAUCUCGUAUCGAUACGGGGUAUACAGCAGCAACAGUGUUGGAAGCCGUCCUGCGACAGCCGCGUUGGCAGACGCGCGAGCGCUUAGCACGGUUCCGCUGUACCGCACCGUUGCCGAGCGGGAUCAGUAUAACCUUGCCAUGGAGCAACUCAAGGUGGCUCGAGAAACAGCCGCAGAGGCGAGCGCCAAGACCUCGCUUAGUGUAUCGCCCGCUCCGCCGCCGCCGCCAUCGUCCUCCGGCGCUGCAGGGCCACUGCCGGCAUCCUUUGCCAACCCGGCGAGCAUCGAAGAACUGCGCGAUCUGAUUGGUGCCUCCCUCCCUUCCGACGCCGUUCAUGGCGCGUCGAGACGCCGUUCGCGUCACGACGACGACGAGAACAUUCUCGUGCGGAGGUCGAAGCAUGAAAAGCGCCACCACCGGCGCCAUAACGACGACGGAGAGUUGCGGCGGCGUCGCCAUCACCGCAAGUGAGCCGGUCAUCCGCGAAGGCACCCAUACCAACCCUAGGCAUGGCGCGCGCCUCCGGUGCCACUCCGUCCUCCCUGUGCCUCCCCGUUUUGUAUGUGUCUGUCUGUGUGUGUGUGUGUGUGUGUGUUGGUGUGUUCUGCAGAUAAGGGCGCACAUGUGUGAUGCGGCCUUUAAAAAAAGAGUGUUCUUCUUUGGUCAAGGCAUCUGCUCGCUGCCACCGCCCAUGAGCUCAGCGCCACUCGAUUUCCCCCUCCCUCCCUCCCCCACGGCCGCUCCUCCCAUCAUGCCAGGUCGCCACGGGGUGCAUCCCCCUCGAGGUGGCCACUCCGGCUUCUCCAAACCGAGAGGUGGGGUAGGGGAGGGGCACCGGAGCGUGUGUGAUAUGCCACCACGCACUAAGGGGUGCGUCCCUUCCCCUCAUCCCUCCUUCCACCGUCUUCAGGAGGUCGAG
rnacentral:misc_RNA from 1 species